CGGUCAUAUGCUUGUCUCAAAGAUUAAGCCAUGCAAGUCUAAGUUCAAAUCAUUGUAUGAUGAAACCGCAGAAAGCUCAUUACAACAGCCAUUGUUCACUUGAUGUUUUCUAUCCUACUUGGAUAACUGUGGUAAUUCUAGAGCUAAUACAUGCAGCAAAACUCAGGUAGGCUCUCGGGCCGACGAGUGCAAUUAUUAGAACAAAACCAAUCGGGCCUCGGUCCGUUUCGUUUGGUGGAUCUGAAUAACAGAGCGGAUCGCACAGUCUUUGCACUGGCGACGCAUCUUUCAAGUGUCUGUCCUAUCAGCUGUCGAUGGUAUUCUAUACGAUUACCAUGGCUGUAACGGGUAACGGAGAAUAAGGGUUCGACUCCGGAGAGGGAGCCUGAGAAACGGCUACCACAUCCAAGGAAGGCAGCAGGCGCGCAAAUUACCCACUCUCGGCACGAGGAGGUAGUGACGAAAAAUAACGAGGCGGUUCUCUAAGAGGCCCGCUAUCGGAAUGGGUACAAUUUAAACCCUUUAACGAGGACCUAUGAGAGGGCAAGUCUGGUGCCAGCAGCCGCGGUAAUUCCAGCUCUCAAGGUGUAUAUCGCCAUUGCUGCGGUUAAAAAGCUCGUAGUUGGAUCUACGGUUUCUGGAGCCGGUCCACUCAAUGAGUGCGAACUGGUCUCCAAGCCUCUAGUCGCUGGUCUACCCUUGAUGCUCUUAACCGGGUGUCCUGGGUGGCUAGUGAGUUUACUUUGAAAAAAUUAGAGUGCUCAAGACAGGCUUCAGUGCCUGAAUAGUGGUGCAUGG
rnacentral:rRNA from 1 species